AAAUUAACCACUUCCGGUAAGCCAUGUGAGUUUGUUUACAAUUCCAUUUACAUGUGUUGAUGAAAUAUCAAGGUCCCGUGUGAUCAGAUUACAACAUUUGACCGAUUAGCAUGCCCAUUUUAUGAGUGUUGGAGAAUACAGAUAUGGCAACCCACAAAGACAGUCUCAGUUCUUAUCUCCAAAGUCUGAAUCUCUCAGAUAAAUCUGCAAUAGCUUUGGAAAAGGUGGAAGAAAAUUAUAUACUAGACGUUGCUGUGCAGAAUAAACCAGGAGCACAGAAACUUGUUGCAGCUACAAGUUCUAAUCAUGAGAUACGGUUAUACCAGUACGCUGACUUGACUAUGACUGGUAAACUGGAAGGUCACUCUGAUGUUAUCACUGGAAUUCAGUUUGCACACACUGAAGAAAACAUGCUGUAUUCAUCUGCUCUUGACCAGUGCAUCAAAUGCUGGGAUGAACGCUCUGGGAGAUGUGUUCAAACAUUUCAAGCUCCUGGAGAAAUCAAAGGCUUCAGCAGUUUCGGAAUCAACUGUAAUGAUCGUGUAAUAGCUGGAGGAACAGAAUGUGUGACAACUGCUGAAGACAUACACAUCAUUUUUUGGGACAGAAGAAAAGCGGAGGUCAUGGGGUCAUACACUGAGAGUCACCAGGAUGAUAUAACCCAGGUGAAGUUUCAUCCAAGCCAGCCUGACAGUCUUGCUACAGGCUCCACCGACGGACUUGUGUGUGUGUUUGAUAUUUCACAGACCUCUGAAGAUGAUGCCAUUUUAUGGACAUUCAAUACAGAAUCUUCAGUUUCUAAAAUUGGUUGGACAGGAGAAAAACAAACUGAUGUGUACUGUAUUACCCACGACGAUGCCCUACAUGUGUGGGAUUCUGUGGAGGGUGAUGAUAUCUUGAGCAAAACAAAUAUUAAAGACGAAUUGCAGGACAAGGAUCCUGUUGAGUAUAUGGUGGAUUGCCUGUUCACAGACUCUUUACAUCUUGUCAUGGGCACAGCACAGGUUUGUUUUUGGUUCUAUAUUUGCUAAUAGAUUGGGUCUUAACGGGUCUCGAUCGUGGGACUGUACUGAUUUGCUAGCGCUGGUUAGUUUAUUUCAUGACAUUUUCGAAGGUCCCACCGAAAACUUUUUUGAAAAUGCGCCCCGCCUUUAGGGUUUUAGUGUUGCAACCUUUUUUUAAAGAAUUCUUUUGAAAAUAGGAACGUUUUCAUUUGAUCUUUGAUAUCUUCUGCUUUAUGUUCUUAAAAAAAUAUUAGUUUCAAAAGAAAUAUGCAAAUCAAGAAAAUUUAGCAUGUUUAUAUAACCUUGUAUAAUAGAAACACGAUGCAGAUUGAAUUAAUAUCUCGUUAGAAAUCGAAAAAGAAAACCGAAAAAGAGAGUUCUGGAUGUGUUUAUUUGCCUUGAUCUCAUUCCACGGCUUUGUGAUCACGUCGUAGAUGGUUAUUGAUUAACUCUACGGAGAAAAUUAAAGUAAGCAUGAAGGGGGAUUCUAUGUGUCACAAUCCUGAUACGAUAUUCAAUUUAUCAAUCGAUCAGUCAAUAUAUCGAUUGAUUGAUUUUCGUCAGGUGUUAAAGCAUCUACCUAGAAAAACUUGUACAAAUUCUGUUAUAUACCGUUGUUUCAAUGCGCAUUACGGUCAACACAUUUCAAGCUGUUUUUAGUGAAGAUGUUUGAUUUUCUUUAGAUUAGCCUGACAAGAACUUGUUUGGGUUUUCUUCUCAGAAGAAAUAACAUUCGCGUGUUCAGUGUAGUAGACAAUUUCUGUCUGCAGUGCAUUUAUGAAUGAGAUAUUACAGACGUAUUAUCAUAACAUAAGCUCAACAAAGCAUCACUGUCGCCGGUAUGAACCGAUGACGUCAUAUCCGUUUUUUGUUGUUUGUUCUGUGUUUUGUUUUUUGCAAUGUUUGCUAACUCUUAAUCACGUUGAGCUUGUUUACAGCGGCGACCUCCAAAUAAUGACUACUGAAUGAACCACAGAAAAUCGUGAAAACUCUGAAAGGUGGCCACACAGCAACUGUGCGAUGUUUGCACUGGGAUAAUUCGGUACUCUACGUUUUAAAUAUUCAUUGUAUUUUUUUGUUUUUAACGAGAAAAAUUAAAAAGAAACGUUUUCGCCUACGUGCUUGUAACAUAAAACAGAAUUCAUUUAUUCCCCUAUCACAAAAACGAGCUCUGAGAAAAAGAGAAAGUACAAGAGAACAGACAAUGCAUUAUUAUGAUCAGACGAUUCAGUUAUCAGAUAAGCACGGAUGUAAUCCGCUGAGCUAAUCACUGAACUUGUUUCUGUAUGUCUUUUUGGAGACCCACACGUUGUUAACGGGAGCGGAAGAUUCUUUGUUGUGUAAAUGGAGCGACUGUGUGAAGCAGACGACAGAUACCAAAAGAGCCAAGUUAAAAAUGAAGAAAACGGAUUCGAAGAAAACAAGACCCUAUUGAAACUCAAGUGUUUUGAAUGUUAUAUAUAGAAAUAGAAAAUUAAAUCCU
rnacentral:misc_RNA from 1 species